AAGCUACCAGGUCGUAUCAACAUUCCUUUAAUUUUAUUAUGGUUUGCUGUGUAGCUGGGCCAGCUGUUUCAGACCAGUAAUGAAUUACAGUGAAGUGGGCGAGGUGCUGUUUUGUUUUUCUGCCCAGCUGGAAUUGAUGAAGUGAUCCGUUUGCAUCGAUCCUCACUGGGAAGGAGUUUAAAAUUCAGGUUUUAUGAAAUUGGACCUGAGACCAAAUAAUUGGAAGAAAAUGCUUUAGAAUCUGCAGCCUAUAAUUAAACAUUUCCAAGAGCCAGCGAGAUACAGCGAGCUCAGCAGAAGGAGGCAUUUUGCUGGGAACACUUCCCGUCUUUGCUUUGUUUCACGCUGUGUGCUAUUAAAGCAAACAACUUCACAAGCUUCAGAAGCGUUCGGCAGCUCUUGAGCAAGAAUAGCAUCUAACAUUACAGCUAAGCUGGAAACAAUGAGGACCAUCAGUCGUCUUUUUUUUUUUUUUUUUUAAGCACGUAAACUAGGUAGCUUAGCUCAUGGAGAAAUCCCCAUUACUCUAUUUUAGGUAUUCUAGAAAUUGCAGGAUGGGAGUUUUCAUCUUCUGAAGGAUCCAGCAGUAACCACUAGAAAGGAAAGAUCUUCAUUUAGAGCAGUGCCCAGAUCUGCUGGUGCAAUUCAUACUUACCUGUGCAAGCCAGGCUCUCCUCUUUUCAAUUGUAUAAAUCCUAACCACCGGUCCUUCUAAGUUUAUCGAAUAUGUCUUGUCUGAUUAAAAAAAUGAGUUUGAGACGCGAUAGAAACGUCUCCCUUGUGCCACAUAGGAUCAGCUAGACUCCUGAUUAAAUGUCUCGCUAUGUAGAGGUGGGAGCCGUGGCUGUGUCGCUCUGACUGCCUUUGCAGGGGAGCGGUGACAGCUUUGAACUGGAGGCAACGUGCGGAGUCGUGCUGCAAAAAAGUUGUCAUCACUAAAGGGGAAGGCUGGUUCUGGGUAGGAAAAUAGGAAGACUGAGGCUUUUGGCACCCUCACAAAGUCAAAUUCAGUUUCUCUGCUCUUUUACCGGAGCCCACCAGGAGUUGUGUUUGGUGAACUUCAAAUUUUGAAGGAGACAUCCACCAUACACCCUACUUUUGUCUUUUGCUUCAUCUCUACAGCCAAGAACCUGUUCUGUGAGUAGCGAGAAGUUUGGGGUGCAAUCUAUUAUUUUUUCUGGCCAGCAUUGAGCUACAAGCCCUGCGUGUCUCUGCAAAUCGGAGUGAGCUGCACCAGAGCCAGGCACGUUUGUGUGCUGCCCAUCACACGGCCUUGCUGCUGCAGAUCUGCAGCCCUGAGCUCUCCCGGUGCGACUGCGCGAUGCUGCUGCCUGCGUGGCUGCGGCGGCUGCAGCAGCCCAGGGCUCCGGCUCCGUCGCCUCACAAAUGACUUGCCAAGAGGCUGUGCGUUGUUUUGAGGGUACCUUAGCUGCACGCUUGUUUUUUUUCAACAGCAGCCAAUGUUAGGAAUGAGAGAGAAAAUGAAAAUGUUUUCCCUGUGCUUUUAAUUCGUAGCUCCUGUCCGGAGCAAAGUCAUGGAAACCAGUUGAAGAACUGGUGACCAACUUUUUGUCCUUUGCUUGAACCCCAAAGCUCAUGCAAAUUCAUUACCGAAGACAAAGAUUAAGAGGUGAAUGGAGAGCCUAUAGUGUUUAGUAGAAAAUAUAUGCAACAUGGAAAUUGGAUGUAAACCUCUUGCUGUUCCUUUGCGAAUCUAUUAUACAUGAGCCCAUCAGAGCAGCAUAUUAAUAAAACAGGAGGCUAAAGCACUUGGCACUCCCAUCUCUUUAGCAAAACAUCAGAGGCGAGGCUACCAGCUUCGGUCUGUGGAGUCUGGAACUUGCACCUGCCCAGCUGCUCCGAUGCUCCGGUCAGGAUGCUCCGAUGGACAUCUCGCCACUGAAGGGAAAUCUCUCCAUGGUGCAGGGGUCUUUUAUUCAAGUAAAAUUCUCCUCCUCCGGCACAAAACCAUUGUUCUUUCCUGCUCAGCCUUCUUGCCUGCUGAAUUCUUAAAGCAAUACACAACGAAGGCCAAAGAUGACUUAAAGCAACCUCAGAUAUCGUGUGCUAAGAUGCAAAUUGCAUCUGUUCCUCGAAAGCUCUCCCCACCAGGGCCACUCUGUCCCAGUCUUUUGUUAUGCAUGGGUACCACCAACCACAACCACAAGUCCCUUUGCUUUGCCGAGUAGUGAGAAGUAAGUUACGCUGAAUUUUCUAAACAUCUACGUUUUGCUUCUCCGUCAGGACAAAGAGAGGUGGCUCUUCGGACCUCCCCUGUAAUCCCACUCGUGUUGCCAAGGUCCCUUGUGCAGACACUAAUACCUCUUGCACUUCUGGGUGAGCAGAGGCAGCAAGGGAACACUGCUGCUAGAUAACACGGGCUUCCUGCAAAGUCCAGCCUUAGUGCAAAAUGGGAGUAGCUGUAGUACAGUGUGAGUUGGGACCUGCGCGGCUGUAAACACGGAUGAAAGUGGAAGGGUUGUGUCUGAUACCUGCUCUGGGGCCAUAAAGCCUCAAUUUUUGAUCCCGGCUGCUGGUGGUGGUGGCACCUGCCUCCCGUGUGUGUGCUGCUUUACUGGGAGAGGGAAGGAGUUGUCCUCGGGCAGCUGCAGGACUCUCUUACCUCCAGUAAGUCCUACCCUGAGCUGAAGUCUGGACAGCUCGAGCGUAUUGCUACAGAGGAGAGAGCUCUGCAAGACAACUAAUUCAUCUCAGACUUGGCAAGUCUUCUCUCCGAGCUGGGUUGGGUUGGAAGCUGCGUUGCCAUUCAUUCCCGGAGGACGCCAGAGAUGCGCAGUCAGAGGAGGGUGUUAGGAUUCAGCUGAAUGAAGUUGUCGUGCAACUAAUCUUCAGUACAGCCUUGAUUGACUGGUGUGCCGUUACACAGAAAUAAACUGGUAGUGACCCAAG